GAAACGCGUGGCGACAAGCCCGCGAUCCGGGAGAAGCAUCUCGGCGUCUGGCAAUCGACGAGCUGGCGCGAAUGGCUCAAGACAGCCAGGGAAAUCGCCUACGCGCUNNNNNNNNNCGUUGCCGCCUCCAUCGUCUGGAAUGCGACCCCCGAAUGGGUGUUCGCCGAUAUGGGCGUGCUCUGUGCAGGCGGUGUCUCGUCCGGCAUCUAUCCG
rnacentral:misc_RNA from 1 species